UACAGAGGGGGCGAGCGUUAUUCGGAAUUACUGGGCGUAAAGCGCACGUAGGCGGCUUUCUAAGUCGGGGGUGAAAUCCUGGAGCUCAACUCCAGAACUGCCUUCGAUACUGGAGAGCUCGAGUCCGGGAGAGGUGAGUGGAACUGCGAGUGUAGAGGUGAAAUUCGUAGAUAUUCGCAAGAACACCAGUGGCGAAGGCGGCUCACUGGCCCGGUACUGACGCUGAGGUGCGAAAGCGUGGGGAGCAAACAGG
rnacentral:rRNA from 1 species